rnacentral:rRNA from 1 species
GUGCCAGCAGCCGCGGUAAUACGUAGGUGGCAAGCGUUGUCCGGAAUUAUUGGGCGUAAAGCGCGCGCAGGCGGUUCUUUAAGUCUGAUGUGAAAGCCCACGGCUCAACCGUGGAGGGUCAUUGGAAACUGGGGAACUUGAGUGCAGAAGAGAAAAGCGGAAUUCCACGUGUAGCGGUGAAAUGCGUAGAGAUGUGGAGGAACACCAGUGGCGAAGGCGGCUUUUUGGUCUGUAACUGACGCUGAGGCGCGAAAGCGUGGGGAGCAAACAGGAUUAGAUACCCCUGGUAGUCC